rnacentral:rRNA from 1 species
UUGAUCCUGGCUCAGAAUCAACGCUGGCGGCGUGCCUAACACAUGCAAGUCGAACGAGAAAGUGGAGCAAUCCAUGAGUAAAGUGGCGACCGGGUGAGUUACACGUGACCAAUCUACCCUUGAGUGGGGGAUAACCUCGGGAAACCGGGUCUAAUACCGCAUAACAUCUCUGGAUCGGAAGAACUGGAGAUCAAAGGAGUAAUUCGCUUGAGGAGGAGGUCGCGGCUGAUUAGCUAGUUGGCGGGGUAAUGGCCCACCAAGGCAAAGAUCGGUAGCCGGCCUGAGAGGGCGCACGGCCAUACUGGAACUGAAACACGGUCCAGACUCCUACGGGAGGCAGCAGUGGGGAUUUUUGCGCAAUGGGGGAAACCCUGACGCAGCAACGCCGCGUGGAGGAUGUAGUCCCUUGGGACGUAAACUCCUUUCGACCCGGACGAUAAUGACGGUACUGGUGGAAGAAGCCCCGGCUAACUUCGUGCCAGCAGCCGCGGUAAUAAGGU